CGGAGAGGGAGCAUGAGAAACGGCUACCACUUCUAAGAAAGGCAGCAGGCGCGCAAAUUACCCAAUCCUGACUCAGGGAGGUAGUGACAAGAAAUAACAAUAAACCGGCUUAUGCCGGUUUAAUUGGAAUGAGUACAAUUUAAACAUCUUAACGAGGAACAAUUGGAGGGCAAGUCUGGUGCCAGCAGCCGCGGUAAUUCCAGCUCCAAUAGCGUAUACUAAAGUUGUUGCAGUUAAAAAGCUCGUAGUUGGAUUUCUGCGGGGACGGAGCGGCCGGACGCAACUUGCGUCUCGAGCUAGCGCUUUCCCCGCAUCCUGCCGCGAACCGUGCUACCAUUAGUUUGGUGGCGCUGGGGAUCGGCUCGAUUACUUUGAGAAAAAUAGAGUGUUCAAAGCAGGCCACACGCCUUGAAUAAGUUAGCAUGGAAUAAUGACUAAGGACUUUGGUUCUUUUCGUUGGUGUUCGGGACUGAAGUAAUGAUUGAUAGGGACAGUUGGGGCGGUCCGUAUUCCGAAGCGAGAGGUGAAAUUCUUAGACCUUCGGAAGACGAACAGCUGCGAAAGCGUUCCGCAAGGAUGUUCCCUUUGAUCAAGAACGAAAGUUGGGGGAUCGAAGACGAUCAGAUACCGUCGUAGUCUCAACUAUAAACUAUACCAGCUAGGGAUCGGCCAACGUUUAAUUAUUCGACUUGGUCGGCACCUUAUGAGAAAUCAAAGCAUCUGGGUUCCGGGGGGAGUAUGGUCGCAAGGCUGAAACUUAAAGGAAUUGGCGGAAGGGCACCACCAGGCGUGGAGCCUGUGGCUUAAUUUGACUCAACACGGGAAAACUUACCAGGUCCAGACAUAGGAAGGAUUGACAGAUUGAUAGCUCUUUCUUGAUUCUGUGGGUGGUGGUGCAUGGCCGUUUUUAGUCGGUGAAGCGAUUUGUCUGCUUAAUUGCGUUAACGGACGAGACCCCAGCCUGCUAAAUAGCGCGGCCGAGCUUUGCUCGGUACGAGCUUCUUAGAGGGACCAUGAUGCGCGAUAGCACAAGGAAGUUUGGGGCAACAACAGGUCUGUGAUGCCCUUAGAUGUUCUGGGCCGCACACGGGCUACACUGGCGCCUGCAACGAGCAUAUCAGCUGGCCCGAGAGGGUCUUGGCUAAUCUUUGGAACCGGCGCCGUGCUUGGGAUUGACCAUUGCAAUUGUUGGUCAUGCAACGAGGAAUGCCUUGUAAACGCGAGUCAUCAGCUCGCAUUGAAUACGUCCCUGCCCUUUGUACACACCGCCCGUCGCUCCUACCGAUGAAUGUUCCGAUGAAAUUUUCGGAGAGCGCCGGAGAACGGGGCUCUGCCCUGCAGAACUGGAGGCUCAAAGUCACUUAAAUCUGAACAUUUCGAGGAAGGAGAAGUCGUAACAAGGUAACC
rnacentral:rRNA from 1 species